UUCCCAACUUCGGUUAUAAGAUCCCUCAAAGAUGAUGAGGUUAAUAGGUUCGAGGUGGAAGCAUGGUGACAUGUGGAGCUGACGAAUACUAAUCGAUCGAAGACUUAAUCAAAUU
rnacentral:rRNA from 1 species